UGCAUGCAGGCUGAACGUCCUCGUCCUCGGAGGAGACUCUGGCUUCGUGGAGCUGUUUGCGUACGGGAUGUACAAGAUCGCCACUCUGACCGGGGUGUCAGGAAGCUGCCGCAGCCUCAGUCUCUCUGGAGACCUGAAGUCUCUCUCCGUCAUCACAGAGGUCAAAUCUGCUGAGGACCAGCUUCAGAUCUGCUACCUGCAGUUGGACACUUGUCUCCUCUCUGAUAUUAACCUCCUGUCUCC